rnacentral:rRNA from 1 species
CCUACGGGAGGCAGCAGUAGGGAAUUUUCGUCAAUGGGCGCAAGCCUGAACGAGCAAUGCCGCGUGAACGAGGAAGGUCUUCGGAUCGUAAAGUUCUGUUGAAGGGGAAAAAGAGCGGAGAGAGGAAAUGAACUCCGAUUGAUAUUACCCUUCGAGGAAGUCACGGCUAACUACGUGCCAGCAGCCGCGGUAAUACGGAGGAUGCGAGCGUUAUCCGGAUUUAUUGGGUUUAAAGGGUGCGCAGGCGGAGGCACAAGUCAGCGGUAAAAUCGCGGGGCUCAACCCCGCUCCGCCGUUGAAACUGU